AGACCCGAAACCCGGUGAUCUAGCCAUGGGCAGGUUGAAGGUUGGGUAACACUAACUGGAGGACCGAACCGACUAAUGUUGAAAAAUUAGCGGAUGACCUGUGGCUGGGGGUGAAAGGCCAAUCAAACCGGGAGAUAGCUGGUUCUCCCCGAAAGCUAUUUAGGUAGCGCCUCGUGAAUUCAUCUCCGGGGGUAGAGCACUGUUUCGGCUAGGGGGCCAUCCCGGCUUACCAACCCGAUGCAAACUGCGAAUACCGGAGAAUGUUAUCACGGGAGACACACGGCGGGUGCUAACGUCCGUCGUGAAGAGGGAAACAACCCAGACCGCCAGCUAAGGUCCCAAAGUCAUGGUUAAGUGGGAAACGAUGUGGGAAGGCCCAGACAGCCAGGAUGUUGGCUUAGAAGCAGCCAUCAUUUAAAGAAAGCGUAAUAGCUCACUGGUCGAGUCGGCCUGCGCGGAAGAUGUAACGGGGCUAAACCAUGCACCGAAGCUGCGGCAGCGAACGUAUCACCCAAGACAACUUUACGGAGUUGACGAUUGACGGAGCGAAGCGACGUCAAAGCGUUCAUUAAAGUCGAGUUGGCUUAGGG
rnacentral:rRNA from 4 species